UGUGAACUCGAAGAGUAGGGCGGGACACGUGGUAUCCUGUCUGAAUAUGGGGGGACCAUCCUCCAAGGCUAAAUACUCCUGACUGACCGAUAGUGAACCAGUACCGUGAGGGAAAGGCGAAAAGAACCCCGGCGAGGGGAGUGAAAAAGAACCUGAAACCGUGUACGUACAAGCAGUGGGAGCACCUUUAUGGUGUGACUGCGUACCUUUUGUAUAAUGGGUCAGCGACUUAUAUUCUGUAGCAAGGUUAACCGUAUAGGGGAGCCGCAGGGAAACCGAGUCUUAACUGGGCGUUAAGUUGCAGGGUAUAGACCCGAAACCCGGUGAUCUAGCCAUGGGCAGGUUGAAGGUUGGGUAACACUAACUGGAGGACCGAACCGACUAAUGUUGAAAAAUUAGCGGAUGACUUGUGGCUGGGGGUGAAAGGCCAAUCAAACCGGGAGAUAGCUGGUUCUCCCCGAAAGCUAUUUAGGUAGCGCCUCGUGAAUUCAUCUUCGGGGGUAGAGCACUGUUUCGGCUAGGGGGUCAUCCCGACUUACCAACCCGAUGCAAACUACGAAUACCGAAGAAUGUUAUCACGGGAGACACACGGCGGGUGCUAACGUCCGUCGUGAAGAGGGAAACAACCCAGACCGCCAGCUAAGGUCCCAAAGUCAUGGUUAAGUGGGAAACGAUGUGGGAAGGCACAGACAGCCAGGAUGUUGGCUUAGAAGCAGCCAUCAUUUAAAGAAAGCGUAAUAGCUCACUGGUCGAGUCGGCCUGCGCGGAAGAUGUAACGGGGCUAAACCAUGCACCGAAGCUGCGGCAGCGACACGAUGUGUUGUUGGGUAGGGGAGCGUUCUGUAAGCCUGCGAAGGUGACCUGUGAGGGUUGCUGGAGGUAUCAGAAGUGCGAAUGCUGACAUAAGUAACGAUAAAGCGGGUGAAAAGCCCGCUCGCCGGAAGACCAAGGGUUCCUGUCCAACGUUAAUCGGGGCAGGGUGAGUCGACCCCUAAGGCGAGGCCGAAAGGCGUAGUCGAUGGGAAACAGGUUAAUAUUCCUGUACUUGGUGUUACUGCGAAGGGGGGACGGAGAAGGCUAUGUUAGCCGGGCGACGGUUGUCCCGGUUUAAGCAUGUAGGCUGGUUAUCCAGGCAAAUCCGGAUAAUCAAGGCUGAGGUGUGAUGACGAGGCACUACGGUGCUGAAGUAACAAAUGCCCUGCUUCCAGGAAAAGCCUCUAAGCAUCAGGUAACAUCAAAUCGUACCCCAAACCGACACAGGUGGUCAGGUAGAGAAUACCAAGGCGCUUGAGAGAACUCGGGUGAAGGAACUAGGCAAAAUGGUGCCGUAACUUCGGGAGAAGGCACGCUGGUGUGUAGGUGAAGUCCCUGCGGAUGGAGCUGAGACCAGUCGAAGAUACCAGCUGGCUGCAACUGUUUAUUAAAAACACAGCACUGUGCAAACACGAAAGUGGACGUAUACGGUGUGACGCCUGCCCGGUGCCGGAAGGUUAAUUGAUGGGGUUAUCCGUAAGGAGAAGCUCUUGAUCGAAGCCCCGGUAAACGGCGGCCGUAACUAUAACGGUCCUAAGGUAGCGAAAUUCCUUGUCGGGUAAGUUCCGACCUGCACGAAUGGCGUAAUGAUGGCCAGGCUGUCUCCACCCGAGACUCAGUGAAAUUGAACUCGCUGUGAAGAUGCAGUGUACCCGCGGCAAGACGGAAAGACCCCGUGAACCUUUACUAUAGCUUGACACUGAACAUUGAGCCUUGAUGUGUAGGAUAGGUGGGAGGCUUUGAAGCGUGGACGCCAGUCUGCGUGGAGCCAACCUUGAAAUACCACCCUUUAAUGUUUGAUGUUCUAACGUUGGCCCCUAAUCGGGGUUGCGGACAGUGUCUGGUGGGUAGUUUGACUGGGGCGGUCUCCUCCCAAAGCGUAACGGAGGAGCACGAAGGUUAGCUAAUCCUGGUCGGACAUCAGGAGGUUAGUGCAAUGGCAUAAGCUAGCUUGACUGCGAGCGUGACGGCGCGAGCAGGUGCGAAAGCAGGUCAUAGUGAUCCGGUGGUUCUGAAUGGAAGGGCCAUCGCUCAACGGAUAAAAGGUACUCCGGGGAUAACAGGCUGAUACCGCCCAAGAGUUCAUAUCGACGGCGGUGUUUGGCACCUCGAUGUCGGCUCAUCACAUCCUGGGGCUGAAGUAGGUCCCAAGGGUAUGGCUGUUCGCCAUUUAAAGUGGUACGCGAGCUGGGUUUAGAACGUCGUGAGACAGUUCGGUCCCUAUCUGCCGUGGGCGCUGGAGAAUUGAGGGGGGCUGCUCCUAGUACGAGAGGACCGGAGUGGACGCAUCACUGGUGUUCGGGUUGUCAUGCCAAUGGCACUGCCCGGUAGCUAAAUGCGGAAGAGAUAAGUGCUGAAAGCAUCUAAGCACGAAACUUGCCCCGAGAUGAGUUCUCCCUGAGACUUUAAGUCUCCUGAAGGAACGUUAAAGACGAUGACGUUGAUAGGCCGGGUGUGUAAGCGCAGCGAUGCGUUGAGCUAACCGGUACUAAUGAACCGUGAGGCUUAACCUU
rnacentral:rRNA from 1 species